CGAAACAGAAAGAGUACAGUAAACGUUUCCUAAAAUUGGUAUCUGGUUAAGAUAAGCUCAUUAAGGCACCGUUAUAUGUUUUCGUGAGAUUGGUAAUAAUGUACGUAUGUCAACAAAACACAGCCGUAAGUUCCGUAACAUCCUAGUCAAAUACUUUACGAUUAGAUGUGACUAAACAAUACAAUACGGCCUCCUCGUUUAAGAACAAUUUUAUGGCUUUUUUAUUAAUUUCUCUCAUGAUAAAGGUAGGGUCAGCAAGAGUUUGCACUCUAUGUCCGUUUUUUUUUAUCCAAUUGUUGCAAUAAUCCUUAAAACCCGAUUAUU